rnacentral:snRNA from 1 species
UUACUCUGGUUUCUAAUCAAUACCCGGAUAAAUCUUUCGCCUUUUACUAAAGAUUUCCGUGGUUAGGAGCAUUGAUGAGUCUAUAAUGACUUAUUUUUUUUAACGCCCGGUCUUCUGAUUGGGCA